CCUACGGGAGGCAGCAGUGAGGAAUAUUGGUCAAUGGACGUAAGUCUGAACCAGCCAAGUAGCGUGCAGGAUGACUGCCCUAUGGGUUGUAAACUUCUUUUAUGUGGUAAUAAAAUGUGCCACGUGUGGGGUUUUGUAUGUACCAUAUGAAUAAGGAUCGGCUAAUUCCGUGCCAGCAGCCGCGGUAAUACGGAGGAUCCGAGCGUUAUCCGGAUUUAUUGGGUUUAAAGGGAGCGUAGGUGGCAUGUUCAGUAAGUUGUGAAAGUUUGCGGCUCAACCGUAAAAGUGCAGUGGAUACUGGCAGUCUUGAGUACAGUGAAGGUAGGAGGAAUUCGUGGUGUAGCGGUGAAAUGCUUAGAUAUCACGAAGAACUCCGAUUGCGAAGGCAGUUUACGGAACCGCUACUGACACUGAGGCUCGAAAGUGGGGGUAUCGAACAGGAUUAGAUACCCGGGUAGUC
rnacentral:rRNA from 1 species